CAGGCGGUAGCUCAAUCGGUAGAGCAUCUGGCGCGUUGAAAACCACCGCCGCCCAGUUCUCGGGCGCCCCUUUUUCUUCCCUUUCCGAUGCGCAGGCCGGAGUUACUUCGGUCGAAUCAGGUUCGAGUCCUGCCGGCCCUU
rnacentral:tRNA from 1 species